rnacentral:rRNA from 1 species
UAAUACGAAGGGGGCUAGCGUUGUUCGGAAUUACUGGGCGUAAAGCGCACGUAGGCGGCUUUCCAAGUUGGAGGUGAAAUCCCUGGGCUUAACCUAGGAACUGCCUCCAAGACUGGGAAGCUCGAGUCCGAGAGAGGUGAGUGGAAUUUCCAGUGUAGAGGUGAAAUUCGUAGAUAUUGGAAAGAACACCAGUGGCGAAGGCGGCUCACUGGCUCGGUACUGACGCUGAGGUGCGACAGCGUGGGGAGCAAACAGG